rnacentral:lncRNA from 1 species
AUGUGGGGACAUGUAAAAAUAGUAAGUGGUUCCCUUGGCAACCACUACAGCAGAUGGAAACCAGUGUGGACAGUCUCAGAAAGCCUGAGGGUGAAGGGAAGAAGCCGGGCCCUGAGUAUUGGUGUCCAGUGUGGGCUGGGCAGGGCCCAUCGAGCUGCCCCUCCUCACAGGGCUUCCCGGGGACCACCUGCUCUGAUGCCCAAAGGGAAAAAAUGCAUAAAGGAGCUGCCCCUCUGCCCAAACUACCCACCUCUGUUCGUCCCCACGCGGCUGCCCUGUCCCUGCCCCUUGGGUCACUGGGGGUCCUCCAUCGGCCGCCCUCCCACCCCCGUCCAGGACCUCACAUGGGAGACUGCCAGCGGGAGACCCAGUCCUGAGGCCUAAGAUCACGCGUGCCCAUCAUGUGCUGAGCUCACCCCAGGCCUCACCCGCACUGUUCAGGUCUCUGCUCAGGACUUCAAAGUCCACCCUCCAGCCAGGUCCGCAACCUUGUUCCUGCCAAGACCUCCUCCUGGUUCUGUCUAGGUCCUGCCCGUGACCCCACUGCUCUCGGGUGGCCCCUCCAGGGGGACUAGAGGACUUGGGGCUCCUGCAGACUUGAGGUUCUGGAAGCCCCUGGGGUGUGGGAGGCAGAGGCAGGAGCUGCAGAGGGUGCCGGGAAAGAUCUGGAAAAGCACGGCCGAAGGGUGAAGCAGCGUGUGCGGCAGACCGACUGAGGGAAGCUGGGCUGCAGUGGAACCAAGAGAUGGAAGAGGGGCAGCUGAGGGGAGGGUGAGAGGCAGAGCCUGGAGUGUGGCUGGAGGUGGGAAAGCGGACGCUGUCAGCCCAGGAGGUGCGCUGGGGUGUGUGGCCUGUCAAUCACGCUGCUGCCCCUUCUUCCCACUCCUGAGCAUGACUCCCCCCACCCCCUUUUCCCCUCCCUCCUGGGAUACUGAGUUUGCUGCAUCUUCUGGGCUUCGGUCACCUCCACACAGACAAGCCCACCCUGUGCGCGCCCCUUCCAGCUGGACCCAGCCUCCAGCCUCCUCUGCACACUCACGCCGUUGGUCACUGAUGCUGGGGCCCCACGCGCCUCUUGUUUACUGCUGUGUCGGUAACAACUGUGAGUGGCACUUCACUGAGCCAGGUGUGAGCUAUACGCUGAACUGGGUAUUUGCCUCUGUCUGAUCCUCUGCAAGGAGGUAGUAACAUGUCCUGGGUGAUGAACUGGGUCUCAGGAAGGCUAAGGAAACUGUCAGGGAAACCACACCUCUGAUAGGCAACUAAUGGGUGGAGAACUGGGAUUCCAGGGCAAGUCUAAUUUCCAUCCUACACUCUUUCCACGCAGUCUCAUUCUACCUGAAAAUCAAGUCUUCCAGAGGAGGCUGACCUUUGGGCAGGUAGAAUUAGGAUGCAAAAUGCUAGGCUGGGGGAUUCCCAGGUGGCUCAGUGGGUAAAGAAUCCGCCUGCAAUGCAGGAGAUGAUGGUUCAUCUCUGGGUCAAGAAGCUCCCAUGGAGGAUGGCAUGGCAACCCACUCCAGUAUUCUUCCGGAGAAUCCCAUGGACAGAGAAGCCUGGCAGGCUACCGUCCAUAGGGUCACAAAGAGUCAGNNNNNNNNNNNNNNNNNNNNNNNNNNNNNNNNNNNNNNNNNNNNNNNNNNNNNNNNNNNNNNNNNNNNNNNNNNNNNNNNNNNNNNNNNNNNNNNNNNNCUACCGUCCAUAGGGUCACAAAGAGUCAGUCAUGACUGAGUGACUUAGCAUGCACACACAUGAUUGGCUACAGGCAGAGAUUCUCAAAUCCUUGAGGGUCUUUGAGUGAGACUUGUGGACUACUGACAUGCGUUACAGGUUCAGGGUGCUGAGCCUUGGAGCUUCACCCACAGGGAGGCAGCGGGGGCCAGGCCACCUGUGGGAGCUCCCAGCCUGAAUGGUGGCCGCUGCAAACCACUCCAAAGACAGGAGAGGUUGACGAUGGUCAUGGGGCCAGUGGUGCCCACCUGGAGUUCAGCUAAGUGGUGCUGGGCUGCUUGAGUUCAUCACCCCCGAAUCCUGAUGCUGCCGCCUGGGGUUCUGAGGUAAGGAUUCGAGCUGGGCAGUGAGCAGUCUCUCAUUAUCGGAUCUCUGAGCUACCUCUGUUGACUCCUUGCCUAAGCCUUCCACCCUGUUUUCCCAAAUAGCCAUGACCCUCCCCCUAACCAUCAGCCGUAACCCUCUCCCUGAUCCAUAUCACUCCACACUCUCACCAUUCCCACAGGGCAGAGGCAGUUUCCUUUCCACAAUUUAUUAAUGACACUGGACUUCACACAUCCAUCUACCAACCAACAGUUCAGUUCAGUUCAGUCCAGUCGCUCAGUCGUGUCCGACUCUUU